GUCCACGCCGUAAACGAUGUCGAUUUGGAGGUUGUGCCCUUGAGGCGUGGCUUCCGGAGCUAACGCGUUAAAUCGACCGCCUGGGGAGUACGGCCGCAAGGUUAAAACUCAAAUGAAUUGACGGGGGCCCGCACAAGCGGUGGAGCAUGUGGUUUAAUUCGAUGCAACGCGAAGAACCUUACCUGGUCUUGACAUCCACAGAACUUACCAGAGAUGGAUUGGUGCCUUCGGGAACUGUGAGACAGGUGCUGCAUGGCUGUCGUCAGCUCGUGUUGUGAAAUGUUGGGUUAAGUCCCGCAACGAGCGCAACCCUUAUCCUUUGUUGCCAGCGGUCCGGCCGGGAACUCAAAGGAGACUGCCAGUGAUAAACUGGAGGAAGGUGGGGAUGACGUCAAGUCAUCAUGGCCC
rnacentral:rRNA from 1 species